rnacentral:misc_RNA from 1 species
AGCAGCCGCGGUAAUUCCAGCUCCAAUAGCGUAUAUUAAAGUUGUUGCAGUUAAAAGCUCGUAGUUGAAUUUCGGGAUCAAAUUGUCGGUCGUGCCUCGGUACGCACUGGUAUUAUUGGUUCCUACCUUCUGAAGAACCGCGAUGUCAUUAAUUUGGUGUCGUGGGGAAUCAGGACUGUUACUUUGAAAAAAUUAGAGUAUUUAAAGCAGGCUUACGCUUGAAUACAUUAGCAUGGAAUAAUGAAAUAGGACGUUUGAUUCUAUUUUGUUGGUUUCUAGGAUUGACGUAAUGAUUAAUAGGGAUAGUUGGGGGCAUUAGUAUUCAAUUGUCAGAGGUGAAAUUCUUGGAUUUAUUGAAGACUAACUACUGCGAAAGCAUUUGCCAAGGAUGUUUUCAUUAAUCAAGAACGAAAGUUAGGGGAUCGAAGACGAUCAGAUACCGUCGUAGUCUUAACCAUAAACUAUGCCGACUAGGGAUCGGAUGAUGUUAAUUUUUUAAUGACUCAUUCGGCGCCUUACG